rnacentral:rRNA from 1 species
GCUUAUCACCAUUCCAGAUUGAAUAUACCCGAUCUCGUCUGAUCUCGGAAGUAAGCAAUCUCGGGCUUGGU